UACAGAGGGUGCAAGCGUUGUUCGGAGUUACUGGGCGUAAAGAGUGCGUAGGCGGUUUUCUAAGUUUGGUGUGAAAUCUCCCGGCUUAACUGGGAGGGUGCGCCGAAGACUGGGGAGCUGGAGUGUGGGAAAGGCAAGCGGAAUUCCUGGUGUAGCGGUGAAAUGCGUAGAUAUCAGGAGGAACACCGGCGGUGUAGACGGCUUGCUAGACCAUAACUGACGCUGAGGCACGAAAGCGUGGGUAGCAAACAG
rnacentral:rRNA from 1 species